rnacentral:rRNA from 1 species
ACAAGGCCGGCCGGAUUUGGAUUAUUCGGUGUAAGCGCGUAGUUGGUGUGGCAGGCAAAUCCACCACACAAUACAGCGAAGCGUGAAGGCGGGGGAACCACGGUUCCUUCAGUGGUUGGAAGCAUCUCCAAGAAAAUCCUCAUGAGGCGAUGAAGCAUAUAGCGACCGUACCGAAAACCGACACAGGUGGUCAGGUAGAGAAUACUAAGGCGCUUGGGAUAACUCCAGUUAAGGAACUCGGCAAAAUGAUACCGUAACUUCGGGAGAAGGUAUGCCUCUCAUGGUGAUCUAGCAAUAGUGAGCUGAGGGAGGUCGCAGAGAAUCAGGGGUAGCGACUGUUUACUAAAAACAUAGGGCUAUGCGAACUCGCAAGAGGAAGUAUAUGGCCUGACGCCUGCCCGGUGCUGGAAGGUUAAGGGGAGAGGUCAUUGGGAUUCGUCCUGAGAAGCUUUGAACCGAAGCCCCAGUAAACGGCGGCCGUAACUAUAACGGUCCUAAGGUAGCGAAAUUCCUUGUCGGGUAAGUUCCGACCUGCACGAAUGGCGUAACGAUUUCCCCACUGUCUCAACAGGAGUCCCAGUGAAAUUGUAAUAGCGGUGAAGAUGCCGUUUACCCGCAGCUAGACGGAAAGACCCCGUGCACCUUUACUAUAGCUUGACAUUGAGUUUAGGGCUAAUAUGUGUAGGAUAGGUGGGAGACGUUGAAUCCGGUACGCCAGUAUCGGUGGAGUCGCCCUUGAAAUACCACCCUUGUUAUCUUUGAAUUCUAACUCAGGCCAGUGAAUCCUGGCCGAAGACAGUGUCUGGUGGGUAGUUUGACUGGGGCGGUCGCCUCCAAAAAAGUAACGGAGGCGCGCGAAGGUUCUCUCAGGUUGAUUGGAAACCAACCGAAGAGUGUAAAGGCAAAAGAGAGCUUGACUGCGAGAGAGACAUCUCGAGCAGGUACGAAAGUAGGUCUUAGUGAUCCGGUGAUCCCGUAUGGAAGGGUCAUCGCUCAACGGAUAAAAGGUACGCCGGGGAUAACAGGCUUAUCUCCUCCAAGAGUUCACAUCGACGAGGAGGUUUGGCACCUCGAUGUCGGCUCAUCGCAUCCUGGGGCUGAAGCAGGUCCCAAGGGUAUGGCUGUUCGCCAUUUAAAGCGGUACGUGAGCUGGGUUUAAAACGUCGUGAGACAGUUUGGUCCCUAUCUGCUGUGGGCGUAGGAAAUUUGAGAGGGCCUGACCCUAGUACGAGAGGACCGGGUUGGACGAACCACUGGUGCACCAGUUGUCUCGCCAGAGGCAUGGCUGGGUAGCUAAGUUCGGAAGGGAUAACCGCUGAAAGCAUCUAAGCGGGAAGCCUGCCUCGAGAUAAGAUUUCCCUGGGGACUAGUUCCCCCUAAAGGACCCCGGAAGACGACCGGGUUGAUAGGUCGAUAGUGUAAGCGCAGUAAUGUGUUCAGCUUAUCGGCACUAAUAGUCCGUGAGGCUUUUCCUU